UAAUGAUCCCUCCGUAGGUGAACCUGCGGAGGGAUCAUUACCGAGUUAUUCAACUCAUCAACCCUGUGAACAUACCUAAACGUUGCUUCGGCGGGAAUCGCUGUAGAUGCUCAACGGGCCGCCCCCGCCAGAGGACCCCUAACUCUGUUUCUAUAAUGUUUCUUCUGAGUAAAACAAGCAUCGCUCGUAUAGUCGCUGUAGAUGUCUCUCUUGGCUCUGGCAUCGAUGAAGAACGCAGCGAAAUGCGAUAAGUAAUGUGAAUUGCAGAAUUCAGUGAAUCAUAGCGUCUCUGAGAUCGCUGCUGAAGUCGGCUGAUUCUGGCGGGCAUGCCUGUUCGAGCGUCAUUACAACCCUCAGGCCCCCGGGCCAGCGCUGAUAGUCGUCGUAAGCCCCCCGUGGGCACACGCCGUCCCCCAAAUACAGUGGCAGGUCCGUGAUAGCUUCCAUCGCGUAGUAGCUAACACCUCGCGACUGGAGAGCGGCGCGGCCACGCCGUAAAACACCCAACUCUUCUGAAGUUGACCUCGAAUCAGGUAGGAAAUGCGCCUGAAUGCUCGUAGAUGCUCCGCUC
rnacentral:rRNA from 1 species